CCUACGGGAGGCAGCAGUGAGGAAUAUUGGUCAAUGGAGGCAACUCUGAACCAGCCAUGCCGCGUGCAGGAUGACGGUCCUAUGGAUUGUAAACUGCUUUUGUACAGGAAGAAACCUCCCUACGAGUAGGGACUUGACGGUACUGUAAGAAUAAGGAUCGGCUAACUCCGUGCCAGCAGCCGCGGUAAUACGGAGGAUCCGAGCGUUAUCCGGAAUUAUUGGGUUUAAAGGGUUCGUAGGCGGCUUUGUAAGUCAGUGGUGAAAUUUCCUAGCUUAACUAGGACACUGCCAUUGAUACUGCAGAGCUUGAAUAAUAUGGAAGUAACUAGAAUAUGUAGUGUAGCGGUGAAAUGCUUAGAUAUUACAUGGAAUACCAAUUGCGAAGGCAGGUUACUACGUAUUUAUUGACGCUGAUGAACGAAAGCGUGGGGAGCGAACAGGAUUAGAUACCCUGGUAGUCCACGCCGUAAACGAUGGAUACUAGCUGUUCGGUUUUCGGACUGAGUGGCUAAGCGAAAGUGAUAAGUAUCCCACCUGGGGAGGUACGUUCGUCGAGAAGUAGAAACGUUAAAUAGUAAGUUAGUACGGCGUGAGAGUGACCGACGGACGACGACGAGGGAGGAGG
rnacentral:rRNA from 1 species